UACGUAGGGCGCGAGCGUUGUCCGGAUUUAUUGGGCGUAAAGAGCUCGUAGGCGGCUUGUCGCGUCGAAUGUGAAAAACCCACGGCUCAACUGUGGGCUUGCAUUCGAUACGGGGCAGGCUAGAGUUCGGUAGGGGGAGACUGGAAAUUCCUGGUGUAGCGGUGAAAAUGCGCAGAUAUCAGGGAGGGAAACACCCGGUGGC
rnacentral:rRNA from 1 species